GUGCUCGUUUCGGUAGCACAUAUACUAAAAUUGGAAUGAUACAGAGAUUAGCGUGGUCCCCUGUGCAAGGAUGACAUACAAAUCGUCAAGCAUUCCAUAUUUUU